rnacentral:rRNA from 1 species
UACGGAGGGGGCUAGCGUUAUUCGGAAUUACUGGGCGUAAAGCGCACGUAGGCGGCUUUGUAAGUAAGAGGUGAAAGCCCGGAGCUCAACUCCGGAACUGCCUUUUAGACUGCAUCGCUUGAAUCCAGGAGAGGUGAGUGGAAUUCCGAGUGUAGAGGUGAAAUUCGUAGAUAUUCGGAGGAACACCAGUGGCGAAGGCGGCUCACUGGUCCAUUACUGACGCCGAGGUGCGAAAGCGUGGGGAGCAAACAGG